GGUAUCCUACGGGGGGCAGCAGUGAGGAAUAUUGGUCAAUGGGCUUACGCCUGAACCAGCCAAGUCGCGUGAGGGAAGACUGCCCUAUGGGUUGUAAACCUCUUUUGUCAGGGAGCAAUUGGCGCUACGUGUAGCGUUAUCGAGAGUACCUGAAGAAAAAGCAUCGGCUAACUCCGUGCCAGCAGCCGCGGUAAUACGGAGGAUGCGAGCGUUAAUCGGAAUUACUGGGCGUAAAGCGCUCGUAGGCGGUAUGUCACGUCAAGGGUGAAAUCCCCGCGCUCAACGUGGGAACUGCCUUUGAAACU
rnacentral:rRNA from 1 species